rnacentral:lncRNA from 1 species
AAAGCAAGAGCAUCCUGAGCAGCAGAAAUGGACAAACAAAUGAUGUUUAUGUUGCUGUUGGCAAAGAUGACUUGCAUGUGGUUCAAUGGGUGCUUGAUAAUGCUGUUUCCCCAGGAACUAGACUCUUUCUUGUGCAUGUCUUCCCUCCUAUUACCUAUAUCAAUACACCAGGUACUUUGAAAAGAUUUUGCAAACUUUGCUAUCUGUUGUAUUUCAGCAUUAACCUUGUAUUAGAAGUUGUGGGCUAGUUAUGUACAUCAAACAUAUCAUGAUUAACAGCAUGAAUUAUUUAUAUGCAGAACUCACAUGAUCAUUACUUUCUGCCACUGUUUCUCUAUAUUCUGAACUUUCUUCUUGGGAGUUUAAAAAAGAAAAAGACAAACUGGAAGCUUGAACAAGGAUCUCUUUCUUCUUGAGCAGGAGAAUGACAGUUUCAGAAAUUUACUCCUUUGUGGUCUCUACCAUGUCUAUGAACUCUUGAUGGAGCAACU